UACGAAGGGGGCUAGCGUUGUUCGGAAUUACUGGGCGUAAAGCGCACGUAGGCGGAUAUUUAAGUCAGGGGUGAAAUCCCAGAGCUCAACUCUGGAACUGUCUUUGAUACUGUCGAUCUGGAGUAUGGAAGAGGUGAGUGGAAUUCCGAGUGUAGAGGUGAAAUUCGUAGAUAUUCGGAGGAACACCAGUGGCGAAGGCGGCUCACUGGUCCAUUACUGACGCUGAGGCACGAAAGCGUGGGGAGCAAACAGG
rnacentral:rRNA from 1 species